rnacentral:ncRNA from 2 species
AAAUUAUCUAGAGAGGUGGAGGGACUGGCCCAAUGAAACCCGGCAACCGGUAUUAUUUUAAAUAAUAUCAUGGUGCCAACUCCUGCAGCAUUAAGCUGAAAGAUAAGGA